AUCUUGUCUUCUAUGUCAGAUACUGUAUGUGUGUGUAUACAGUAUAUUAUUUAUACAGUACAGUAUCUGACAUAGAAGACCGGACACAAGCCAGAUGAGCCCAACCUAUACUAUGGGCACCACCUAUUUACCGGGCGUUCAAAGUUCCAGUUUAUCUGAGCCCAGUUUUAUGAUAUAAAGACUUUAGAGACGAUGUCUGAUGUUGUGAGAAGUGUGGGAUCAAGUAGAGGAUUCUUCUUGCACAGGAUGCACUCUUGGUGUUUGCUGUGCGGUCCCUUUGUCCGCAGUGCGGUGUUACCUUCCUCAGUUUUCUGUCAGGGUCUUUGCUGUGUCCUCUGCAGCCUCUUAGGUGAAAGUGUUGCUCUUUCAGGGUCAAGAGGGUUGGUGCUGAACUUCUGUUCUUGAAGAGAUGGCUCCUUCUCAGACCAGGCUCCAUCACUGGUGAAAAGCUUGCUUUGGAAAAGUGGAUCUUGGAGUUAGUUCAGGGUGUCCGAUGGAGAGCAGCUUUCAGAUCAAACAAAGUGUGUAAGUUCUUUGCUGCACAGACAGUGGGUGGCUCACCUCUCAAAGAGAACAGACCCCCUGCUUUCAGUUCGCUCUCGGAGAGAGAAGGUCAGUGCAGCUGGUUUUGUAGGUGUAACCUCUGGCGAUUGGAACAGGAGAUCCGGUGUCUCAUUUUGUGCAUCACAUCCAGCCACAGUUAAGUUAGCAGUUGCAAGCCUAAUCGGGGGUCUUGUUGUUUGAAGGAAUCUCUGCAGAGGGGUCAGCUGAACUCUGAUUGCCACCUCUGUUAUCACUGAACACAAUGUUGGCAGAGCUGCAGUUCAGACGGUUGGACUUGCAGAUGAAUUUCUGUAUCCCCGUUAAAUCUGCUCUUCUAACAGGCCUCAAACUGUCCUACAGAAUCCAUGCAUUGUGACAAAUAUGCAAAAAUGGAGGAUAUCCGGAAUGGGGGCAAAUACUUAUUCACAGCACUGUCAAUGGGAAAAAAAAGUUUUUUUUGUGAGGAUUAGCUGAGGAACUGCAGUGUCCACCUUCAACACAAAGAUGUUGUGCGCCACUCUAUGUUUUACACUGCCAUACUUUUUAUUUCACAUAAAUGGUCGGAUUUGCCCUUGCAGCGCCAGCUCCUGAACUUCAGGCACCGUGACCCUCCCCUUGUGGCUCCUCGUGACCAUCUCACGAGUCCUGAAUGUGACCCGUGCAGCAGUCGUCAUGUUUAUCGUGUCCUUCAUCCCGCUUUGUAUUGCUGUUUUGCACUUUCUUGUAUUACACCAGUUCAUCAUUAGAGGAGUUGCCUGCGUAAGCUUUAUUCUGCCUUAUUUUACACGCCUAACUUGACAAUUUUCAUUUAUGUUGGCUGGAACAGCUCCUCUUCUGGGACUUCAAAAAAAAAAAACAAGCAAACACUUCAGACAUAAUUACAGGCGAAACAUUCAUUUGUGAUGUCGUCAGCACUGGGGGCACUCUGCUCAGAUUUGAAGUCCCCGAGGGCCCCCGUGAGCAGCCGUCACCAACGACGUGGGUUAACCGAUCAGAACUCGAUGAUUGAGUCUUCUCUGUUUUUGUGCUGCGUCUGAACAUCUCGAGGAGAAAAGGAGUUGAACUACAGACACGUUAGAAAGUGACUGACAGGUGUGGGACAGUCACCGGUCAGGUGUUCAGAUCACUCGGUGGGUGACCCCGAGCACGUCACACUAACUGGCCCAUAUAUAUAAGAUGGAGACUAAAGCAAAAUCAGAAAUAUGCUAUUUAAAAAAGAAAGAAAAUGCUGUUAAAUGCAACAAUAACCAAGGCGCCUGUCUGUUUGUCCAUCUGUCUGUUUUCAGCAUUUCACCUUUCACGGCGGAGUGUUGGGAGAGCGGGAGCAAUGGCAUCAGGACAGUAGCCAUCAUGAAAUGGGCACCAGCCAUUUGUGAAAGAAGGAGAAAACACACUGAUGGAGGCCGGGCAAGGGAGGCAGCUUGAGGCCACAGUGCUGAUCACCAUGUGGUGGGCAGGGCCACACCAAGCGGAGCAGAGCAGAGCAGAGCAGGAGAAGGUGUCUGAUUAAAACAAGGAUUCAAAACUGACCUACAGGAAAGGAAAUCCACAAUCGUAGGACGACGACUGAACCAAAUGAUGCAUCUGCUGUUCUGAAAGGUACGGAAUUGAAAAGACAAAGUGAGAAUGGAGCCGUCGCCCCGCCUCGUACCCUGUCCGCACCUGCUCUCGGUGGCCUGACGCAUCUCUGUCUCGUCACUUGUCCCGGUCACACUACCCUUCAAGGCCACAGCUGCGAUUCUCGGGCUUUGCUGACUCGAGGCAACGCAAUUCAUCAACAGCAACACAAAGCACAAGUGGAGCUCAGUCCUGAGAGGUAAAAAUUUAUUGAUUUCUACUAGAUCAGCAUGUUAUGAUAUGGUUACAUCUGUUCAUACUGUGUAUAUAAUUGUCUUUUUUUUUUAAUAGUAAGAGGACUCAUUUUUUUAAAAAAUAAACUUUAUCUUCUAGAAGGUACAGUUCUGAAAAAAAAAAAAGAAAAAAAAAAGCAAACAGAAAUAACAAAGUCAUCAAUCACAAUGAACAAACAAAUGGCAAAUCGCUAAAGAUGCCAGGCUGGUCAGCGUGGGACCUGAAA